GGAGGAAUAUUGCACAAUGGGGGGAAACCCUGAUGCAGCGACGCCGCGUGAGUGAAGAAGUAUUUCGGUAUGUAAAGCUCUAUCAGCAGGGAAGAUAAUGACGGUACCUGACUAAGAAGCCCCGGCUAACUACGUGCCAGCAGCCGCGGUAAUACGUAGGGGGCAAGCGUUAUCCGGAUUUACUGGGUGUAAAGGGAGCGUAGGUGGCAAGGCAAGUCAGAUGUGAAACCCGGGGCUCAACUCCGGGACUGCAUUUGAAACUGUCUAGCUAGAGUGCAGGAGAGGUAAGUGGAAUUCCUAGUGUAGCGGUGAAAUGCAUAGAUAUUAGGAGGAACACCAGUGGCGAAGGCGGCUUACUGGACUGUAACUG
rnacentral:rRNA from 1 species